rnacentral:rRNA from 1 species
UGAGUAACCUGCCCUUAACUCUGGGAUAAGCCUAGGGGAAACUGGGUCUAAUACCGGAUAUGACUCCUCAUCGCAUGGGUGGGGGGUGGAAAGCUUUAUUGUGGUUUUGCAUGGACUCGCGGCCUAUCAGCUUGUUGGUGAGGUAAUGGCUCACCAAGGCGACGACGGGUAGCCGGCCUGGAGGAGGGUGACCGGCCACACGUGGGACUGAGACACGGCCCAGACCUCCGUACGGGNGCAG